UGUCCUACGGGGGGCAGCAGUGAGGAAUAUUGGUCAAUGGGCGGAAGCCUGAACCAGCCAAGUCCCGUGAGGGAAUAGGGCCCUACGGGUCGUAAACCUCUUUUGCCGGGGAGCAAGGGCCGGGACGCGUCCCGGCCCGGAGAGUACCCGGAGAAAAAGCAUCGGCUAACUCCGUGCCAGCAGCCGCGGUAAUACGGAGGGUGCGAGCGUUAUCCGGAUUUAUUGGGUUUAAAGGGUGCGUAGGCGGGCUUUUAAGUCAGCGGUAAAAAUUCGGGGCGC
rnacentral:rRNA from 1 species